AGCGAACGCUGGCGGCAGGCUUAACACAUGCAAGUCGAACGGGCAUCUUCGGAUGUCAGUGGCAGACGGGUGAGUAACACGUGGGAACGUACCCUUCGGUUCGGAAUAACUCAGGGAAACUUGAGCUAAUACCGGAUACGCCCUUUUGGGGAAAGGUUUACUGCCGAAGGAUCGGCCCGCGUCUGAUUAGCUUGUUGGUGGGGUAACGGCCUACCAAGGCGACGAUCAGUAGCUGGUCUGAGAGGAUGAUCAGCCACACUGGGACUGAGACACGGCCCAGACUCCUACGGAAGGCAGCAGUAGAGAAUAUUAGACGAUGGACGCAAGCCUGAUCCAGCCAUGCCGGGUGAGUGAGGAAGGCCUUAGGGUUGUAAAGCUCUUUUGUCCGGGACGAUAAUGACGGUACCGGAAGAAUAAGCCCCGGCUAACUUCGUG
rnacentral:rRNA from 1 species